rnacentral:rRNA from 1 species
UGGGGAAUAUUGCACAAUGGGCGCAAGCCUGAUGCAGCGACGCCGCGUGAGGGAUGACGGCCUUCGGGUUGUAAACCUCUUUCAAUAGGGACGAAGCGCAAGUGACGGUACCUAUAGAAGAAGGACCGGCCAACUACGUGCCAGCAGCCGCGGUAAUACGUAGGGUCCGAGCGUUGUCCGGAAUUACUGGGCGUAAAGAGCUCGUAGGUGGUUUGUCGCGUUGUUCGUGAAAACUCACAGCUUAACUGUGGGCGUGCGGGCGAUACGGGCAGACUAGAGUACUGCAGGGGAGACUGGAAUUCCUGGUGUAGCGGUGGAAUGCGCAGAUAUCAGGAGGAACACCGGUGGCGAAGGCGGGUCUCUGGGCAGUAACUGACGCUGAGGAGCGAAAGCGUGGGGAGCGAACAGGAUUAGAUACCCUGGUAGUCCACGCCGUAAACGGUGGGUACUAGGUGUGGGUUUCCUUCCUUGGGAUCCGUGCCGUAGCUAACGCAUUAAGUACCCCGCCUGGGGAGUACGGCCGCAAGGCUAAAACUCAAAGGAAUUGACGGGGUCAUAGCUGUUUU